rnacentral:rRNA from 1 species
AUUGAACGCUGGCGGCAUGCUUUACACAUGCAAGUCGAACGGUAACAGGCCGCAAGGUGCUGACGAGUGGCGAACGGGUGAGUAAUGCAUCGGAACGUGCCCAGUCGUGGGGGAUAACGCAGCGAAAGCUGCGCUAAUACCGCAUACGAUCUAUGGAUGAAAGCGGGGGACCGAAAGGCCUCGCGCGAUUGGAGCGGCCGAUGUCAGAUUAGGUAGUUGGUGGGGUAAAGGCUCACCAAGCCAACGAUCUGUAGCUGGUCUGAGAGGACGACCAGCCACACUGGGACUGAGACACGGCCCAGACUCCUACGGGAGGAAGCAGUGGGGAAUUUUGGACAAUGGGCGCAAGCCUGAUCCAGCAAUGCCGCGUGCAGGAAGAAGGCCUUCGGGUUGUAAACUGCUUUUGUACGGAACGAAACGGUCCGGGUUAAUACCUUGGGCUAAUGACGGUACCGUAAGAAUAAGCACCGGCUAACUACGUGCCAGCCGCCGCCGUAAUAC